ensembl:snRNA U6 U6 spliceosomal RNA
GUGCUCGCUUCGGCAACACAUAUACUAAAAAAUUGGAACGGUACAGAGAAGAUUAGCAUGGCCCCUGCGCAAGGAUGACACACAAAUUCGUGAAGCGUUCCACAUUUUG